rnacentral:misc_RNA from 1 species
UGAUCGGCAAUUGUGAAUUCAGCCACCAACUGCCACCAUUCAGCUGCUGCUCGCCGCCGUCAGCUCCGGCGAUAAUGAGAUCCAGACCACCAUUGGUACGCAGGAGAUCGCCUACUCAUUAUGACACAGGCACCCCCACCUAUCAACCUAAUGGAUUUGACCAACAUGACCUAGAUAGUGGGGCAAGGAAGACAAAGCACAAGGGAAAAAAUGUUGUAUGGUCUCCGGCAAUGGACAAGUGUUUGAUUGAAGCACUUUCUAUUCAAGCAAGAAAUGGAAAUAAAGUUGACAAAUGCUUCAAUGAAAAUGCAUAUAACGCUGCUUGUGUUGCCGUUAAUUCUCAUUUCAGCUUGUCCUUAAAUAACCAAAAGGUUGUUAA